GAUGAACGCUGGCGGCGUGCCUAAUACAUGCAAGUCGAGCGAACUGAUUAGAAGCUUGCUUCUAUGACGUUAGCGGCGGACGGGUGAGUAACACGUGGGCAACCUGCCUGUAAGACUGGGAUAACUUCGGGAAACCGAAGCUAAUACCGGAUAGGAUCUUCUCCUUCAUGGGAGAUGAUUGAAAGAUGGUUUCGGCUAUCACUUACAGAUGGGCCCGCGGUGCAUUAGCUAGUUGGUGAGGUAACGGCUCACCAAGGCAACGAUGCAUAGCCGACCUGAGAGGGUGAUCGGCCACACUGGGACUGAGACACGGCCCAGACUCCUACGGGAGGCAGCAGUAGGGAAUCUUCCGCAAUGGACGAGAGUCUGACGGAGCAACGCCGCGUGAGUGAUGAAGGCUUUCGGGUCGUAAAACUCUGUUGUUAGGGAAGAACAAGUACAAGAGUAACUGCUUGUACCUUGACGGUACCUAACCAGAAAGCCACGGCUAACUACGUGCCAGCCGCCGCUGUAAUAC
rnacentral:rRNA from 1 species